rnacentral:rRNA from 1 species
UCUUUACCGUGAAAAAAUUAGAGUGUUCAAAGCAGGCAGAUCCAAUUUUCUGCCACCGAAUACAUUAGCAUGGGAUAAUGGAAUAGGACCCUGUCCUCCUAUUUUCAGUUGGUUUUGGCAGCGCGAGGACUAGGGUAAUGAUUAAUAGGGAUAGUUGGGGGCAUUAAUAUUUAAUUGUCAGAGGUGAAAUUCUUGGAUUUAUGAAAGAUUAACUUCUGCGAAAGCAUCUGCCAAGGAUGUUUUCAUUAAUCAAGAACGAAAGUUAGGGGAUCGAAGACGAUCAGAUACCGUCGUAGUCUUAACCAUAAACGAUGCCGACCAGCGAUUAGGAGACGUUGAAUACAAAACACCACCAUCGGCGCGGUCGUCCUUGGCGUCUGUCCCUUUCAACGGGGGCAGGCGCGAGGGCGGUUUAGCCCG